GAUGCGGUACCGGAUACCCAGACAAUCUCGGCAGUCCUUUUGCAUUCCUCCGUGUGCUGACAGUUUGAAGAAAGUUAAAUUCACCCGCGCCGUAGCUUCCGUCGGCUACGUCGCCUGCUGCUCCCGCUUACGGUACACAAAUAACCCUCUUCGUUGUCGCAGUACGGCGCGAAUCCACUUCGUUGCUCGUCGUGUCACUGGCGGUCAUGGAACAACAUGGAAUGAGUCGAGACAGCCUUCAGCUAUGGUUUUUAUACAGCACUUGGUCGCCUUUUUCACUCGUCGGUUCGUGGUGGGGAUUUCACUCCGCUUCGGAGAGGUUAUCUAGGUUCGAAGCACAAAGUACAGCUGACCGACGCGUGAUACAGCCGCCGCCGCGACGUCACUCCCCUCCUCCUCUCGACGAAUUGCCGCCUGCCACCAGACACGACACCAGUGCCACCCGGCACGACACCCAUUCCUCACUUAUAUUCGCAACGCUUCGUAAGCGACCGAAUUUCGAUCCAGGCGCGUAAAUAUCGUGAUAAGGGCCCCCCGCCGUCUCGAGACGAGGAGUGGCGAGAGGACGCCUCGGAAUCGUGCGCGCGCACACGCUCGUGCUGUCGCGCCAGAUGUCUCGACACACUACGUUCCGUUUCACGCAUGAUGUAUAAAUUUUAUCCUUUCAAUUGCCCGCAUGUUAAACAGGGAUGAGACGAUACAUCAUGCGUAUCAUAUGUGAAACGGAACGUAGUCCUUGUCUUAUUUGCGAUUCGUCUGGCUGCACCGACCGAUGUUCGCCAAUACGCAGCUGCGCGUAAAACGUAGUCGCGCGAGAAGUAAAUAUUUAUUACAUCCGCGCGCCUUUUUUUCACAAGUUCCAUAAUUUUUCAAGUACUUUCUUAUGUCAUCAAUUAUAAUAAGUGCGCGCGAUACGAUAUAUUUUGCGCGCCGACGACGCCGUGGAUUUGUUAUCUAUAGUUGAGAUAAUUAUCGUUUAGCUUCGUAGGAGACCAGACAGACAGUAUAUUGCGGGUACAAAGUGCAACGUAUACAACGUAAAUGUUGUAUAUGCACAUUGUACUGUGUCUUUGUUUCUUUCGUUAUCUCGCUUUCUUGCUUCUUAUCUUCGCUCACCUAUCUGCAUUAAAAAGAGGGUAUCUCAGAUACGCGAGAAUCAUUUGGACUCGUGGCGUCGAUUAAUUCGAUCGCACACGCAUAUACUUCAUCGAUAUACGCGACUCUGGAAUUAUUAGAAUUAAUACUCGAGGUCAAAAGGUUAAUUACAUUAUUUUCCGCUCUGUACGUACAGAAACAGAAAUCAUUUUAUCUUCGGCGCUAGAAAGAGACGAAGAGAGAAUGACAAAACAAAUAUAGAAAUAUUAGUUAAUCAUUUAGAUUAAAUUAAUGUCACAGAGUUUCUAUUAAGAUACCGACCCUCGCAGGGGGUCCGUUUUGCCAA
rnacentral:lncRNA from 13 species